AAGUCGUAACAAGGUUUCCGUAGGUGAACCUGCGGAAGGAUCAUUAUUGAAAUAAAUCUGAUGGGUUGCUGCUGGUUCUCUAGGGAGCAUGUGCACACUUGUCAUCUUUAUAUCUCCACCUGUGCACUUUUUGUAGACCUGGAUAUCUUUCUGGAUGCCUGCGCAUUCAGGUUUGAGGAUUGACUUCACUGUCUUUCCUUACAUUUCCAGGCCUAUGUUUCUUCAUUAUACUCCUAUGUAUGUUAUAGAAUGUAAUAAAUGGGCCUUUGUGCCUAUAAACUUAUACAACUUUCAGCAACGGAUCUCUUGGCUCUC
rnacentral:misc_RNA from 1 species